AUGCUUUCACCAUGCCCAUAUUGUGUGGUCAAAGACCACCCCCAGAAGCAUGUUGCCACCAAGGCUGUGACAACGAUCUCCUCUGGCACUGCCAUCCUUGUGACCCGCCGCCCAUGAAUGUGAAAUUUAAAAAACUGUCAAGGCCCUCCUCUGACUAUGUGUCGCGAUGGGCUGCAAUAAUGCCGCUGAACCCCUUAACCACUCCAUAGCUUUGUAAACAAAAUACAUGUACUUUUGUAUACAUUUGUAUUUCACAAGCCCUAAAAACAUAUCUUUCAUUAUGGUGUCAACAACUGAUGAAGGUCCACUCAUUGUUUUUUGGCCAGCACGUACUUCCCUUUAGAGCUGGGUAUUGUCCAGUCAAUUGAUUCUCAAAUCAUAUCCAAAGCUUUUCAUAG